CCAAACCCAUCUGAUCCAUUUCAUGAUAAUGGCUCUCACAAUGAAAGUACCACAUCCAACAACCAUGUGGUUUCCUCUAAAACGAACUUCACUCUCAUCAUAUUCAUAUCCAUACCAAAAACCAAUGAAAACGUCCUUAAUAAAUCUCAAAACCAAUACCAAUGCCUCUUUCACUGUCUCAGCAGCAGCCCAAGGUACCAAUAGAAAGCUCCCCAUAUUGCUUUUUGACAUCAUGGACACCAUUGUUCGCGACCCUUUUUACCAUGAUGUCCCUGCCUUCUUCGGGAUGCCGAUGAAGGAAUUAUUAGAAUGCAAGCACCCAACUGCAUGGAUUGAGUUUGAGAAGGGGAUGAUUGAUGAGGUGGAACUAGCCAGAAAAUUCUUUAAAGAUGGAAGAUCUUUUGAUUUGGAAGGUCUCAAAAAUUGUAUGAAAAGAGGAUAUUCCUACAUAGAAGGUGUUGAAGAAUUGCUUCAUGCUUUAAAACAAAACUGCUAUGAAAUUCAUGCUUUCACUAACUAUCCAAUAUGGUACAAUAAGGUUUUUAUUUUUAUUUUAUUUAUAUAUUUAAAUAUAUAUAUAUAUAUAUAUAUAUCCAGUGAAGUGGUCAUCUUAAGUUUAAUAAAAUUUUUUUGCAGGUACAAAAUGAUUGAGGACAAGUUAAAAAUUUCAAGAUAUUUAUCUUGGACAUUUUGCUCAUGUUCAAGUGGAAAGAGGAAGCCUGAUCUUAACUUCUAUUUGGAAGUUUUAAACCUUCUUAAAGUUAAUCCAGCAAACUGUAUCUUCAUUGAUGACAGGUUGAGAAAUGUAGAGGCUGCUGUGGAAGUUGGCAUCAUUGGUCUACAUUUCAAGAAUGCACACUUGCUUCGUCAAGAUCUCUCUUCAAAGGGAAUCGACAUUUUAGAAGAUAAAAUUCAAGAACAGUCGUCUUGAUUUCUAACUUCUUAUAACUCUCAUCAUUUGAAUAUUUACCAUUGUUAAAUGGCUCUAUGGUGCUUCUUCUUUCAUCAUUAUUCUUUUUGUUUUUGUUUUUUUAAAAAAAAAAUUAAUUCUCGGGGUUGUUGAUCAUUGGAAGAGAUAAAAAUUGCAGUGAAUGAUUCUUUGUAAAAUCGAUAAUGGAGUCCUAAUCCUUCAAUAAAUUUCACUUUUUCUUUGGUGCUUCACUCUUAAAUUCUUAGUGAAAGGGUGACAACUGCGGUGAAUGAGGUGUUUAAACUAUAAAAGAUGGCAUAGUUGCUACAACAUAAUUUUUUGCAAAAUAAUAUUAGGAGAGAUUGCACUUUACCUACAUGUGAUUUGGCCCAUUUUAACAAAGCUCACUCAUGGUUUAAAAUUUAUCACUUAACCCACCUGAAAUGAUCUCUGUUAGACACCCAUUACCCACUUUUGUCAUUUCUGUUAGAAAAUCCCCUUUAUUAUAUAAGCCAAAAUUAGAACCCAAAUAGAAUUCCCCAAAAAGAACAAGCUCUCUCUCUCUCUACUUCAGAAUCCCUAAAAAUCCCCAAACCCAUUAUCCCUUUCUCUCUUUACUUCGAUUGCCUAAGUGAAAUCUAAACAUAUCUUCUUCAAGUUAUUACUCGGUUUUGUUGGUUUUCUUUUUGGUUGGCUUUAUGAAUGAUCCUAAUUUGAAUUUGUUUGUAGGAUAAUGAACCUACUUGUAAAUACUUUAAGUGGUUGGAUGGCAAAACAUACGUGUGGGUCUGAAGUUGCACCCAUUGUCCUUACAAGAAUCAAUAUGUACAAGAAUUAGGCAAGAGUCGCACAGGAAAAGGAAAAUGAGGAUGGGAGAAUUGGGAACAAAGCCAUUGAGUCUACCUUGAAGGCAAGUUGUUGUAAUUAUUGUGUAAUUUUGGGUAUUACCACUUUUGGCAAUAUGUUAUAUUGAUAUCACUUUUGGCAAUGUGCUGUGUUGAUAUCACUGUUGCGAGAAUAGAGUAUGUAAAUUGUUCUUGUUUAUGUAAUAUGUAAUGUGUAACUAAUAUGUAAUGUGUUCUUGUUUAU